rnacentral:misc_RNA from 1 species
UCCGGCUUAACGCCGGCAGUCUCCUUAGAGUGCCCAACUUAAUGGUGGCAACUAAGGACGAGGGUUGCGCUCGUUGCGGGACUUAACCCAACGCCUCACGGCACGAGCUGACGACAGCCAUGCAGCACCUGAACCGGCAGUCCCCGAAGGGAAAAUCCUAUUUCUAGGACGGUCCGCCGUUGUCUAGCCCAGGUAAGGUUCUUCGCGUUGCGUCGAAUUGAACCACAUGCUCCACCGCUUGUGCGGGCCCCCGUCAAUUCCUUUGAGUUUCAGCCUUGCGGCCGUACUCCCCAGGCGGGGCACUUAGCGCGUUAGCUACGGCACCCGAAGGGGUCGACACCGCCCACACCUAGCGCCCAUCGUUUACGGCGUGGACUAC